CAGCAGCCGCGGUAAUACAGAGGGUGCGAGCGUUAAUCGGAAUUACUGGGCGUAAAGCGUGCGUAGGUGGUGGUUUAAGUCCGUUGUGAAAGCCCUGGGCUCAACCUGGGAAUUGCAGUGGAUACUGGGUCACUAGAGUGUGGUAGAGGAUAGUGGAAUUUCCGGUGUAGCAGUGAAAUGCGUAGAGAUCGGAAGGAACAUCUGUGGCGAAGGCGACUAUCUGGGCCAACACUGACACUGAGGCACGAAAGCGUGGGGAGCAAACAGGAUUAGAUACCCCCGUAGUCCCUGUCUCUUAUAC
rnacentral:rRNA from 1 species